UCCUGUAACCAAAGGAAGAUCAUGCAGAAAGGUGCAUCCAAGAAGGGGAAAAAGAUGUUCAGUAUGACAUCUCUAUAUAGAAGACUUGUGGAAUGGAAAGGUUUCUUAUUCUGAAAAGUAUGAAGUUCAACACCUUUAAACAAGAAGUGCAUUACUUUCUGUCAAUGAGGGCUGGAAAAUUUAUUUGAGAUUCUAAGGCAGACCAGAACAGAUGUCUACUGACUAGUAUGGAUUUUAUCGCAAAUGGUUCUAAUAUGGCAUGUUGAAUGGAUGGGACUAAAAGAGAACAAGGUGAUGAUCUGUUUCAAGUAUGGCAUUAUUUUGGUUCUCAGUCCAGUUGCCCCACAAACCAGAUCUGAGCUGAAGAGUCAGCUAUCGGCUGCGGGCUGUCAUCUGUGUCAUCACAGUAUCAUCCAGUAUGUGGGGGACAGGAUUUCAAUGAUGACAGAUGUCCAAAAGGGAUGAAUGAGUUGGUAAUGAGCAGUCAGCAAGAGAGAGACACACAGAUGUGUUGAUAUAGCUAUUACUAAUGCAUGGUGAUUACCUUAUGGUUUGAGAAUUACAUCAGCCUUUAACUAAAGGAAUAAUUUAAUUGUCAGUUCCUGACAGCUAUUUGCAUUCAUCUCAAAAUUUGUAUAAAUAACCACUAUAAGAAAAACAAGUUGCUUCCAAAAUUCCAUUCGGCUACAAUUACCCUGCAUAGCUAAAUGACACAGUGAAAUUCCAUGACUAAGAUACUGUGUACAGCAAUAUUUUGCUUGGUAUGGAAACUGACGCAGAAGAAAUCCUUAGUAUAUAUGUAUUUACAGUUAGUCAAUGCCCAGGAGAGUGUCACAGGAAAAAAAAUAAAAAUCUUCCUCCCAAACUAAACGGUAAACCUUGAAAAAUCUGUAGAAAUCUGAAGACAGAGGAGGAAUUUUGCCUUAACAGUGUGCAAUUCAUUUAAUUCUGUGCUUUGUGCAUGUAACACACUAUGCACAAUGUAUUGCUAUUUCACCAAGGUUUUAAGUGAUGCAUUAAUCUUGAUGAGCUCUAGAAGUGUGCUCGAAUGCAGAGGUGUAGAAUCAUAUAUUAGCUUUAGACUUAUUUGGUUGCAAACUGCUGUCUACUGACAGAAACAGCACUAUAAUUUCUCCUCACAAGACACAAGCUGAUGUUACUAUUGCAUUCUAACAAGAAAUGGAAAACUAUUUCUCUCAGGUGAUAACUUUCUUCAGACACUUUAACCUGUGCUCCCACUUAAAUGCUCUGCAGAUUGUUCAUGAAGGUUAUAAAGCUCCCUGAUACAUUUCAGAAAGUAAAUAUAUAUUUCUCUGAUAUUCUGUUGAGAGCUCUGUGUUUUGUAAAGUGAAGCAGUGAUCCCAUUUGGUCAACACUGAUAAAUAUUACAUCAAUAUAUGUGACAAAAUUUGUAAUUUUAAACUAAAAUAUAUUUUGUCGACACGAGGAUAUCAUUAUCUUUGAACCUGUUAAAAUAUUUUUUUAAAUAUGCUCUAGUAAUAUAAAGGCAAACGCAAUCCUAAAGCUUCCUCUAGAAUCAAAAUAUGUGAAAUGAUUUUUGGCUCCUACAGUAGCAUCUAGUUUUGGAACUACUAGCUGAUUAAUGUUUCAUAAAAAAAUAUUACUUACCUUU